CUGCCCUUUUACGCUCACUAUAACCUUCAUGGAGUCAAGUAUACAGUCAUGUGUUCUCUUCCUGCUCGAAUGUUGAUGUGCUUCCUUUUGUGAUGCGUGAGCAUUCUUCUCCCCAUUCAAAACCUCAAGCUUAAUGGAUCUCGUGAACUGAUUAUCUGCCGAUAGCUUCUCCAACAUCUCUGGUUUCUUCUCUUUUGCAAGCUCAACCGAUCUCAAGAACACCUGAUUAUCUGCUGAUGGCUUCUCCAACAUCUCCAGUUUCUUCCUUUUUGCAGGAGCAUGCUUCUCUACUGUCGAAACCUGAAGCUCAACCAAUACUGAGAACACCUGAUUAUCUGCCGAUAGCUUCUCCAACAUUUCCACUGUGCUGUUUAAUUUCUGCACAUCCUUGUUGGUUGAGAGCAGCAUAUUGGCAGCACUGUGGAAGUACUUUAUAAUACUUGACACAGCAAUCUUUGUGUAAGCUAGAGGACCAAGUGUACCUAUAUUAUGGUUGAUGCUCUUGCUGGCUUUGGUCAAGGCUCGCCACCGGAAGUCGAAAAGUACCUCAUCACCCUCUAUGCCAGCUUCCUUCAGUUUCUCCUGCCACUUGAGUAGAUUGGUCCCGGUGAUUUCGUGCUUCUUAGAUGCUUCAACUGCACUGUUGAUCUUUAUGCACAGCAUGUCCAGCUUGCGCAGCUUGUCAUCGAUAGCUGUCUGCUUGUUGAUCAUUCCAAUUACCUUGGAGAUGGCCCUUCUUGUGAUCUCGUUGAUCACUACAGAGCCAACUUGUCCUGCCAUUGCUUAAUGAGCUUGUAUGUAUAGCUAGAUCAGACUAAAGGAUGAGAAGGGAUUAUACUGGAUAGUGGAUAUAUAGCAGUGGUCAGCUGUUUAAUAAUCCCCUAGAGUUUUAAUUUAUGAUAAGCCAAUUGUAGUGAUACAAGGAAACAGAAAUGAAUGGAGAAAAAGAGGUGACCUGUGGCAUAGUUUCUGCCAUCCACUUACCACCCUAGAGAUAUUCACUGAGACUGAAAAUUGAUUGGGAGUAAGAGGCCUUGCUUGCAUAGUUUGUGUCGGCCAAGGUGGAAUGGAUGAAAUGGGGUUGGGGAAUUCGCGCAGACAGCUUAGUUACACUAGAUUAUGCAGGAAAUGUCAAGAACCAACCAAAGUAUUCUCUUCUAUUCCCUACAUAGAGUCAGGGCAAAAAUAUUCCAGAGUCAGCAUUACAAGUCAAGUAUUACAUUUGGCACCAACACCUUGGCAAGUGCCGGAAUUCCAGUCCACAUGUUCAGUUUCUAAUGCAUAUGCAGUAUGAAACAGGAAGUAUCUUUAGCAUGGUCCUUUACCGGUGUGACUCAGUUUCUUUAAGGUUGGUUUCUGGUCAUGGAAUCUGUGAUUCACAGGUUGGUUUCAACCAAGAAGGGUGCUGCUGCCAUGCUUCAGCGGGCAAAAAGGCCACGUUAGGAACAUGAGGUUGAAGAAGAAAGUGGUCGUCCCAUUUCUCCACAUUUAUUUCAGAAAUAUUUAGAGAACUCUCUUCAGAAAAUAUAUGCUUAGAGAACCAAGGGCGCCUCAUUGCUUUUCUUUCUCUCUUCUGGAACAGGCUAAUAUGGAAGACUCGUGUUUGGCUUAACAUGGGAUGGAAUUGGUGAGGCUAACAGAAUGAAGUCAACCGGCUCAUGGGCUGAAGCAUUCCAUGUCCCCAGCUGCUAGGCUCUAUGGUAUGCACAAAGCCGUGAAAUCCAUCAGUGGCUGCGGCUUGAGCGACGGUGAGGGUCCGUCGGCCUUCCGCCACCCAUUGCACAGUUCAACGAUAUUAAUGGCCAUAUGCAGAUCCUAGCCAAGGCCCUUUAAGCGGGGGUUUGUCAGUUCCUGGAGCUCCUGACCACCUGCUGUUUCAGCCAAGGACAUAUGCACCUUGAAGCUUAUCUGUCGAUGUCAGCAUGUAUAGGGCUAAUCCUCAAAUUGACCAUGAUGUGUUAACAACCAUACAACAUCUUUGCUUGAGGUUCGACAUGACCUCUUGUUGGAGCAGUAUUGUCCGUCACCUUCUCAAGCGUUUCCAUUGUGCUGUUGAGCUUCUUCAUGCUCUCAUCGCUGGAAAAGGAUGACACCAUAGUGGUGCGGCGUACUAUGGCGCCAUGCUGGGUGUCGCUGUUCCAGUGAGCGGCUUCUCUGACAUCCGAGGCUUGAAGCUGAGAAGCACCUCGUCACCAUGGGAGGCAGCCUUCCUUGAGCUUCUGCAGUCAUUGGACCAGCCUGGUGCUCUUGAUCGUGUGCUUCUCCAACACCUCAAUCUGCGAAUCCUGAUGGGAACAGCUGCCAUCUUCAGGUUGAGCUUCUCCAGGAAUUUGGACAUCGCUCAACUACAGCGGUGAUGGUACUACCAACCACUUCCUGGGCCAUGGCUAGCACUCAAACAGGGCCUCCUUGAGCUUCUCCCGACACUGGACCAGCCUGUUGCUCUCGUUCGUCUGCUUCUCCGAUGAUUCGAUUACGCUGCAGAUCCUGACAGGAGCAGCUCCAGCUGCUGAAGUUUCUUGUCAGUGGCCAUAUGCGGAUCGAGGUUCUCCAGGAACUUCCACACUGCCCUGUCCGAGAUCACAGCGGUCACUGAUGCGGUGAUGGUACCAACCACUUCUUGUGCCAUGGCUAGCUCAAACAAGGAAAUGUCAAGAACCAAUCAAGCCAUCAAGGUCUUCUCUUUUCCUCCCAACAUAGAGUCAGGGCAAAUAUUCCUAAGGCAGUAUUACAAGUCAAGUAGUAUUACAUUUGGCACCAGUGUCGGCCGUCAAGUGCCGGAAUCUCAAUCCACACGUUCUGUUUCCAUGCACAUGCAGUAUGAAACAGUUGCUGCCAACCAAGAGGGUGCUGCCAUGCUUCAACAGGCAAAUGCCGUAUUACUAUAUUAGGUUGCCAUGGGGAGGGAGCCUUCUUGAGCUUCUCCUAGCACUGGACCAGCAUGUUGCUCUUGAUCCUGUGUUCUCUGACACCUCAAUCUAAGGAUCCUGAUGGGAGCAGCUACAGCCGAUGCAGUUUCUCACCAGCGGCCAUCUGCUGGUUGAGGUUCUUCAGGAAAUUUGGACACUGGCCUGUCAGGUGGUGAUUGUACCAACCAUUUCUUGAGCCACGGGCCCACAGCUAGCUCUCAAACAAGCAAGUCGCACAAUGACAUGUUUGACAUCCAACAGUGAGAAGAUCUAGCAGUUCCAGCGAUCACUAACUCCUUGGAGACAUGGCAGGAGAGGCAGUUAACGCUGUGGUUUUGGCUGUGACUAGCGAGCUCACCAGCAGAGUGUUCUCCGGCCUGAUACAGAGGUACGGUAAGGAUGCAGCCACCAGGGAGAAGCUGCAGCGGCUAGAGAUGCUGCUAAUCAAGAUCAACAGCGCCGUUGAGGCGUCUCAGAAGCGCACCAUCAAGAACUAGUGGCUGCUCCAGUGGCGCGACAAGCCAGCCUUGCAAGGCAUGGAGGUUCUUGCCAGUUUCACACAGCGGGUCAAGGAUGCUGAAGAGACUAGCGACACCAAUAACCCUAACCAGCAGCAAGGCGAAGCAGCUUCUUCUUCUGCUUCUGCUCCCGCUACAGAUGUAGGUCCCCUGUCUUUCAGGAAGCAUUCUCUGUCCGGUAUGUUGCAGGGGAUUCGCAACACUAGAGCAAUUCUGUUCUCGAGUGGCAGCGGCGACACGGUAAGGCUGAACAAGACAUUGGGAAGUUUAGAAAUGCUGUCACCAGACAUCAGUGAGUUCAUAAGUUUGCUUCACCUUGAGGCCUUGCCAAAGGCAACUCAAACACAUUACGGUGGAUCAUUGUCGACAUGGAAGACGAGGAAGAGGAGAAGCUCGACCAGACAUAGAAAUCCCUCAGUGGAGCCUAGCUUAUUUAGUUUAUCGACAAAGUCGGACAAGACAGAAGAAAUGUCACCUGAAGAAAAAUACCCCCAGAAGUGCGACAACAAGCAUAUCUUCGACAACAAAUACUCCCAGAAGCGCAACAACAAGCAUAUCUUCGAGUUGGCGUGUAAGAAGUUAGCACUUUACCAGAAGGAGCAAGAGUUUGUGCUCCUGCGUCACAGGCUUGAGGCAGCAUUCGGCGAGAUCUCCAAGGCCGUCGAGCUGGCUGACAGCCGCGACUUCGAAGACCUGGAGUGGCUAUCGUAUUGGGCUGGCAUCCUCAUGGAGGCGAAGGAACAAGUCCGGGAAGCCCUUGGCGCCACCGUCGAUGCAAAAGAUAAGCAGGAGCGAUGCGAGCAAGAAGAUGAACUCAGCAGUUUCGUCCAUAGACUAGAGGGGUUAGUUUGGGAUGCAGAAUACUUCAAGAAAUUGGUAGACCUCUGCCCUGCAUUCUAGCCUCUUGUUAUUAUUGUUGAAUAUAUAUGGUGUAUUGCCAGCCUUUUCCUCGCAAAGGAAGAUUCCACGUGAAACAAUUGGUGCAUUAAAUUUGUUGUACUCAUUUGUUUGUCUUCCUAUCCAGUUCACGCAUUUUGUUGGCCUUUUAGAUCGUUUCUUUAGCUUCCCUCUGGUCUAUUUUAUAAACCUUAUCUUAAGAGCCUUAUUCUAAGGCCGGGCGAUAGCCUCGUUUCUAAAAAAAAUCUACUCCCUCCGUCCCAGAAUAUAAGAACGUUUUUGACACUACACUAGUACCAAAAACACUCUUAUAUUAUGGGACGGAGGUAGUAAGUAUUUGUCCUCAUUUAACAGCAGACUGCAGAUUAGCAUUUGUGAUGUUGUGAAUACCACUUUCCUUGUGGGAAAUACCUGAAGAAACAGUCAAAUAGUAGAAGAAACAUUUGUUUGUGUAGAAGUUUGGAAAUAAAAAAAUAUACUGCAGAGAACCAUCGCCACUGCUUGCGACGACAGAGUUC